rnacentral:tRNA from 1 species
GGAUUGUGGCUCAGUGGCAGAGUCCUUGUCUAGCACGGGCGGGGCCUGAGUUCGAUCCUCAGCACCA